UACGAAGGGGGGCUAGCGUUGCUCGGAAUCACUGGGCGUAAAGGGUGCGUAGGCGGGUCUUUUAAGUCAGGGGUGAAAUCCUGGAGCUCAACUCCAGAACUGCCUUUGAUACUGAGGAUCUUGAGUUCGGGAGAGGUGAGUGGAACUGCGAGUGUAGAGGUGAAAUUCGUAGAUAUUCGCAAGAACACCAGUGGCGAAGGCGGCUCACUGGCCCGAUACUGACGCUGAGGCGCGAAAGCGUGGGGAGCAAACAGGG
rnacentral:rRNA from 1 species